rnacentral:rRNA from 1 species
UACGUAGGGUGCAAGCGUUGUCCGGAAUUAUUGGGCGUAAAGAGCUCGUAGGUGGCGUGUCGCGUCUGCCGUGAAAGCCCAUGGCUUAACUGUGGGUCUGCGGUGGAUACGGGCAGGCUGGAGGCUGGUAGGGGCAAGCGGAAUUCCUGGUGUAGCGGUGAAAUGCGCAGAUAUCAGGAGGAACACCUGAGGUGAAGACGGGUUGCUAGGCUGACACUGACGCUGAGGCGCGAAAGCCAGGGGAGCAAACGGG